ensembl:miRNA microRNA 195
ACACCCAGCUCCCCUGGCUUUAGCAGCACAGAAAUAUUGGCACUGGGAAGCAAGUCUGCCAAUAUUGGUUGUGCUGCUCCAGGCAGGGUGGUGA